UACGGAGGGUGCAAGCGUUAUCCGGAUUUACUGGGUUUAAAGGGUGCGCAGGCGGAUAUGUAAGUCAGUGGUGAAAUCUCUGGGCUUAACCCGGAAAUUGCCAUUGAUACUAUAUAUCUUGAAUGCUGUGGAGGUAAGCGGAAUAUGUCAUGUAGCUGUGAAAUGCUUAGAUAUGACAUAGAACACCUAUUGCGAAGGCAGCUUACUACGCAGAUAUUGACGCUCAUGCACGAAAGCGUGGGGAUCAAACAGG
rnacentral:rRNA from 1 species